AAUCGAGUUCUUUUUAGCAAAUUGGACAUACGGCGUCUUGGUUUUCAUGGGAUGUAGCUGCAAUACAGCAAGACCGAUUGCAUAAGCCCAUUGAAGUAAAUCCCUAAA
rnacentral:sRNA from 12 species